GUUCACAGGGCCCGGUCCUUCUUCAUUGCAGUCGAGCGGAGCACUGUGGAGCUUGCUCCACAUUGUGCUUUAGCGGCGGACGGGUGAGUAACACGUGGGCAACCUGCCCUGCAGAUCGGGAUAACUCCGGGAAACCGGUGCUAAUACCGAAUAGUUUUUUGCCCCUCCUGGGGCGAAACGGAAAGACGGUUUCGGCUGUCACUGCAGGAUGGGCCCGCGGCGCAUUAGCUAGUUGGUGGGGUAAUGGCCCACCAAGGCGACGAUGCGUAGCCGACCUGAGAGGGUGAUCGGCCACACUGGGACUGAGACACGGCCCAGACUCCUACGGGAGGCAGCAGUAGGGAAUCUUCCGCAAUGGACGCAAGUCUGACGGAGCAACGCCGCGUGAGUGACGAAGGUUUUCGGAUCCUAAAACUCUGUUGUGAGGGAAGAACAAGUACCAACUAACUACUGGUACCUUGACGGCACCUCAGCAGAAACCCACGGCUAACUACGUGCCAGCAACCGCGGAAAUACGUAGGGGGCAACCGUUGCCCGAAAUUUUU
rnacentral:rRNA from 1 species